GACGAACGCUGGCGGCGUGCCUAAUACAUGCAAGUCGAGCGGACCGAACAGGAGCUUGCUCUUGUUCGGUUAGCGGCGGACGGGUGAGUAACACGUGGGUAACCUGCCCGUAAGACCGGGAUAACUCCGGGAAACCGGAGCUAAUACCGGAUAACACCGAAGACCGCAUGGUCUUUGGUUGAAAGGCGGCUUCGGCUGCCACUUACGGAUGGGCCCGCGGCGCAUUAGCUAGUUGGUGAGGUAACGGCUCACCAAGGCGACGAUGCGUAGCCGGCCUGAGAGGGUGACCGGCCACACUGGGACUGAGACACGGCCCAGACUCCGACGGGAGGCAGCAGUAGGGAAUCUUCCGCAAUGGACGAAAGUCUGACGGAGCGACGCCGCGUGAGCGAAGAAGGGCUUCGGAUCGUAAAGCUCUGUUGUUAGGGAAGAAGAAGCGUCGUUCGAACAGGGCGGCGCGGUGACGGUACCUAACGAGAAAGCCCCGGCUAACUACGUG
rnacentral:rRNA from 1 species